AGACCAAGGGUUCCUGCGCAACGUUAAUCGACGCAGGGUUAGUCGGUUCCUAAGGCGAGGCUGAAAAGCGUAGUCGAUGGGAAACAGGUUAAUAUUCCUGUACUUCUGGUUACUGCGAUGGAGGGACGGAGAAGGCUAGGCCAGCUUGGCGUUGGUUGUCCAAGUUUAAGGUGGUAGGCUGAAAUCUUAGGUAAAUCCGGGGUUUCAAGGCCGAGAGCUGAUGACGAGUCGUCUUUUAGAUGACGAAGUGGUUGAUGCCAUGCUUCCAAGAAAAGCUUCUAAGCUUCAGGUAACCAGGAACCGUACCCCAAACCGACACAGGUGGUCGGGUAGAGAAUACCAAGGCGCUUGAGAGAACUCGGGUGAAGGAACUAGGCAAAAUGGCACCGUAACUUCGGGAGAAGGUGCGCCGGCUAGGGUGAAGGAUUUACUCCGUAAGCUCUGGCUGGUCGAAGAUACCAGGCCGCUGCGACUGUUUAUUAAAAACACAGCACUCUGCAAACACGAAAGUGGACGUAUAGGGUGUGACGCCUGCCCGGUGCCGGAAGGUUAAUUGAUGGGGUUAGCGCAAGCGAAGCUCUUGAUCGAAGCCCCGGUAAACGGCGGCCGUAACUAUAACGGUCCUAAGGUAGCGAAAUUCCUUGUCGGGUAAGUUCCGACCUGCACGAAUGGCGUAACGAUGGCGGCGCUGUCUCCACCCGAGACUCAGUGAAAUUGAAAUCGCUGUGAAGAUGCAGUGUAUCCGCGGCUAGACGGAAAGACCCCGUGAACCUUUACUGUAGCUUUGCACUGGACUUUGAGCCUGCUUGUGUAGGAUAGGUGGGAGGCUUUGAAGCGUGGACGCCAGUUCGCGUGGAGCCAUCCUUGAAAUUCCACCCUGGCAUGCUUGAGGUUCUAACUCUGGUCCGUAAUCCGGAUCGAGGACAGUGUAUGGUGGGCAGUUUGACUGGGGCGGUCUCCUCCUAAAGAGUAACGGAGGAGUACGAAGGUGCGCUCAGACCGGUCGGAAAUCGGUCGCAGAGUAUAAAGGCAAAAGCGCGCUUGACUGCGAGACAGACACGUCGAGCAGGUACGAAAGUAGGUCUUAGUGAUCCGGUGGUUCUGUAUGGAAGGGCCAUCGCUCAACGGAUAAAAGGUACUCCGGGGAUAACAGGCUGAUACCGCCCAAGAGUUCAUAUCGACGGCGGUGUUUGGCACCUCGAUGUCGGCUCAUCACAUCCUGGGGCUGAAGCCGGUCCCAAGGGUAUGGCUGUUCGCCAUUUAAAGUGGUACGCGAGCUGGGUUUAGAACGUCGUGAGACAGUUCGGUCCCUAUCUGCCGUGGACGUUUGAGAUUUGAGAGGGGCUGCUCCUAGUACGAGAGGACCGGAGUGGACGAACCUCUGGUGUUCCGGUUGUCACGCCAGUGGCAUUGCCGGGUAGCUAUGCUCGGAAAAGAUAACCGCUGAAAGCAUCUAAGCGGGAAACUUGCCUCAAGAUGAGAUCUCACUGGGAACUUGAUUCCCCUGAAGGGCCGUCGAAGACUACGACGUUGAUAGGCUGGGUGUGUAAGCGUUGUGAGGCGUUGAGCUAACCAGUACUAAUUGCCCGUGAGGCUUGACCG
rnacentral:rRNA from 1 species